rnacentral:rRNA from 1 species
UUCUUGACGAUCAUAGAGCAUUGGAACCACCUGAUCCCAUCCCGAACUCAGCAGUGAAACGAUGCAUCGCCGAUGGUAGUGUGGGGUUUCCCCAUGUGAGAGUAGGUCAUCGUCAAGAUU